rnacentral:tRNA from 1 species
GCCUGGGUGGCUCAGUUGGUUAAGUGUCUGACUUCGGUUCAGGUCAUGAUCUCGUGGUCUGUGGGUUCAAGCCCCACAUCGGGCU